UCCUGGCACUGUGAAGUGCCUCUGGUGUUCUGUGUUGACAGGUUUUUAUGGGGUGGUAACAAAGGAGGUAGGGGUGGUGAUGAGGGAGAAAGCAGUGGGAUGGGAGGUGCUACAGCAGAGAACUAAUCCUUUAAAGAGACUCCAGAUUCUUUAAUGCAGCAACAGGAGGAAAAUAUUAGAUUUCACCAUCAAAGCAAAACUAGAAGUAUUCCAGUUGUCUUUUAAAUUUGGAAACUAAUAUAUAAAGAAACAUAGAAGUCUCCUGCCUCAUCCCUGCUUUUGAACUGAGUCUUCUCAGUGGCAACUGCAUCACAGCAGCUUCUGCUAAUGCAAGAUUAAAGACAGAAAGCCUCCUUUAUGCUGUAUAAGUGAGUCCUAUAUUCUAUUUGUACACCAUCAUUCAGUAUGUCCAGAAUAUUUUCUUUCCCCAGUGUGUGUGUCUCUAUUCACCUAGACAGAGUUGUGAACCCGAACAAUUCUCAGCUGUGAGAUUUUUCUUGUAUAAGUGAUGAAAUGGAGAAAAGUCUAUUCUGGAAACCAGUUCAAGAAGCUUCUUCAGCACGUACAAUUUUCUGUGAACGACGAAAGAAAGAGUGAUUUCAUAAACUACUAUCACAUUGACUAUAAAUCAACUUCUCCAGACUUGUGUCCUAAGUGGUUUGCCAAAACAGUGGAAAUUUUAGAGAAUACAGACAAUUUACAGAAAAAAAUCUCUA